rnacentral:tRNA from 1 species
GGCUCGUUAGCUCAGUCGGUUAGAGCGUCGUGCUAAUAACGCGAAGGUCGUGGGUUCGACCCCCACACGAGCCA